ACCUCGGAGAGCCCCCGGUACCGCCCCGCAGAGAAAGGGCCGACAACCAACCGAUAAAUCAAUGAGUGACUGAUAGAAGAUACACUCGUGGGAAAAUGAAACGAUUUUCUGAAGCACUGUUUCAGAGAUGAGGAACAGACGAGUAUCACAGGGAAGGCCAUCUAGUGGGAAAGAACAAUACAGAGAAUUAUUAUUUGAGGAAGUUGUCCUGUAAUUCCAGUGGGAUGUGAGAAAAAAAUUCUGUUGUGAAAACUUAAAGUAUCUUAACCAUUUUGACACAUGAAAUAGUUUUACCUUGGGAUACCCCAACUUUUUAAAUCCUUUUUCUUUUUUUUUUUUUUUCCCCUGAAAGAAAACUAAAAAUGGGUACUGUGUGUACAAACCUUCUGUUUUAAAGAAAACUACGUUUUCCACUGAUUGAUGAAAAAAAAUCCCAAGUCAGUCUACUCACAGUUUGUUUAAAAUGAUCAUUUAUUGUAUCUUUUUCAGAGUCAUUCAGAAAUUUUUACAGGCAAAACUCUAAUAUUUUUAUUUAUGAAAACGCAAUUACACUGCACUAUUACUUGUAUACUUAAAGUAGAACGAAAAUGCAUUUGGUUACUCAGUAGGAAGGAAUGUUUGAACUAAGCAGUUGUACUAAUUCAAGCAAAAUGCCAGGCACUUUUGGAUUUUUGCUUAGAUUUAGUGGUCUUUUCAUCUUGCAAGUAGUACAAUAUGCUGCUCACAGCAGCUUGAAUGUGUUAUUUAUUACCACAAAAUCAGAGUAGAGCAAAAAAAAUCAAUGCUGUGAGUUUUGAUUGAGAGAGUGAUCCCAAGACAAUAAUCUACUGAGAUCCCCAGCUUGUAGCUCUAUUCACUUCCUGUGCCAUAUGCUUUUUGCUCCACAAAGGUCUCAGUGAGCCUCUGGAAGACUGUAAGAUCCUGCAUCCAAGUAAAGAAGUUACAGACUUGGUGUGGCAUUCUGCUGGUACUUUAUUAGGAGUGCUUUGCUGAAUAGUUUAUAGCAGGAUUGAGAUCACUAUUAUAUGUUAUUUUUCUUCCCUGAAGUCCAUUCAUGUUUCUUUAUUAAACAACAAGAUUAAAGCCAGUCAGCAGACAGGCUUCUAAAUUGUAGUUGAAUAAAAAGAAGAAAAAAUAUUGUCAGUUAGUCAGAAUAAAUCUAUAUGCUGUUUUUUAGUAAUAAAGCUAGAAAAAGAAUUUGCACUGAAUAUUAAUGAACAGCGUAUUUGUUCACAUCUUUGAUACACUGUUGUUCUACAGCUUGUAGUAAUCUCAACAUUUCAAAGUCUCAGUAAAAAAAGUUGUAAGAAAGUCUGUAAAAAAUAUGCAGCAGUAGAAAUUAAUAUUCAGAAAUGCACUGUGGGAUUAUGUGAUUGCUGCUUUAUUGCCAAUCAUGAAAAUAUAAAAAAGUAAGAUUUUUUUCUGAGAAUUUUUAUUAAAUAAUAAUCUAACAAUCUUCUAAAAAGUCGGGAAAAGACAGUGCUAAUAAAUAGAGAACCACUACAUUACCAGAAGUUGUGAUUUAAGAAAAGUUUUUUCGCUAUUUUUUCUUCCCCAUUCUACUAAAGAUGCAAGCAAUCGGAGUCAGUUUGCACAUCCAAACCUCACACAGCAUUACUGUUAAGGAGCUACAAAGGAUUCAGCAUCUGCUCCUGGAAUCUGAAUUUAUACCUUGGAACACAGCUAGGAAAUAUAUUUCUUAUUUGAAUAUCAUGAUUCUGGAAAUAUUUACAAAAAAUGUUUUGUUUUUUUUUUACAUUAAAAAUAUCCUUAAUGGGCCUUGGCUAUAUUGCAUAGGCUUUCUAAAUGUACAGAGUGCCCUUGAUAUUGGAAAUAUUUGGGGUUUUUUUUGUGUUUUUUUUUUUGUUUUGUUUUGUUUUGUUUUGUUUGUUUUUAAUGCAAAUAGGUGUUCAGUGAGACAAAAUGGAUCUUGUCAGUAUUUUAGUGAAUUUUAGUAUGUAAUACCAGAUUUCGAGACAUACAUAUAAAAACAUACAGCUUUAUAUAUUAGUUACUAUUUUCCUUUCUUAAAGAACACUUCCAGAAACCAUUCUUGCAGUAGCUACGAACAUACAGAAGAGAACAAUUCCACUGAAAUCAACAUAAUUUUAGUGAUAACCAAGGCUUCAGGAUGAAAUGAAAGUAGCAUUACUUCAGAUGCAAGGAAGAGAGCAUUUGGCAUGCUCAGUUGCUUCCAGGAAAAGCUUGAAGUUCUGUAAAAUCCCUUUCUCAAGAUAGCCUUGGAUUUGGCAGUGACUCCUGAGGAGCACUGUUGUCAAUUGCUGUAGCAUUGACUCUGCAUCUUGUCUUCGAGAGCAUAUCUGGUUGCAUUUCUGAAAGCAUCAUUUAAAUAGUUUGCUCUUGACAUGAAGUCAGAAACUUGUCAUCCAGUUCUGAGAUGAGUUAAUCUGGAUAUGAAAAUUUCUUCUUUUUGUUGAGUGGGAAGUUCACAGACAACUCUUCAGCUUUUCACUAACCUGUCUAUCAAAGCUGAAGUAGCAAAAUUUGAGGAAAAGCACUGAUCUGGUGAUCUAGCAAAACAAGCCAAUCCCCCCAUAUAACUCUGAUGUAUUUACACUGAAGCAAUGUUGCAUACACCAUGCUUACUAUACAUAUGAUACAGAAAUAAGAUGAGAUAGAUACUAUAUUUCAGUAUUUUGCUCCUUCAGAUCAUAUUGUAAAGUGUGUUAAGGUAUUACUAGAAUAAGAGAGUCCAGUAGAGCUGUUUUUGUGGGAAAAUAAAAGCCGGAUUUAAUUAA